UCUUGUGAAGAAGAAAAAAUGGGGGGCAAGAAAUGGCACCAGGUAGAUCUCCCCCAGGAUGCUGCAGAAUUUCGGUUGCUGAUGCCGCUGAUGGAAUUGGUCGAUAUUCGGUUGGGGCAGAUACAUCGAAUCUGGUUUUGCUUCAUCGGGAAGCAGGAUCGGCUGAAAAUGGCCUCAAGCAUUAAUGUGCUGACUGCUGAAAAUUCUCCUGAGGUGUUCCGGAAAGGCUAGAAUGAUACUAACAUCGUGAAUGCGAUCCCGGAUGCCGAUUCGACUGAGAGUUGAUUGCUGAUACCGGAAGCUAUCAGCUCCAGGAUCGAUUCCGAAAAAAAGUAUGAAUUCACAGCGCAAUUUGUUUCUUAGACAUGCUUGCUAUUUUCAAAACAUUCUGCAUCAGAUGCUGCCGGGAUCCAUCAGCAGACGUCUCCUUCCGUCCCUCCAGAAGGCCCCGGAGGUUCCUUUUUUCGUUCGUUUCGACGUCUUGUCCCAUUCGUCUUUGGCGGGUUUACCAAUUCCGGAAAGUGCUAGUGUGAAAAUCUAGCUGGCGAUCAAAACCAUCGGUGGGAAGCACACCCGUGAACAACAGGAAGCAGCUGAUGUUUGCCGUUUUCUGCUUUGGGAGCUAUUGUGAAUAUGUGAAAAUGUGGUGUGUUUUUAUGAAUAUCUAAAAACUAUCGAUCUCCGUCUAUAAUUCUUUUUAUUUUUCACAUCUCCCUUUCUAUCUUCUUUGAUCCUACACAAAAAAGUGCUAGACUUAAGUUAUCAAUUGUAUAAGCAAAACACGAGUUUGGCUCCUUAAAACUCAAAGGUAUG